AUUGGGUGUGUAAACAUGUUUCAAUUUACUCCAGCAAAUGAAAGAAGUUACUUCCUGGUAGCAGACUAGUGUGUACUGUGUUUCACACAAACAUGGACUUGUCACAUCCCAGAACAUCUUGAGGAUGGAAAAUCUGAUCUAACAUAAACAAACACAUGAACAUACAUGCAUAAUUAUUCUGAAAAAUACUCUUCUCUCAUCACAACAGGUUAAGAGAAAUCUCAAUAUAUUAUGUAUACAUGAAUUAAAUAGUGGAACAAAGACUAUAGUGUCUUCAGAGUACUCAGUUUCUGGAAAACAAAUAAACAGAGGAGAAAGAAAAUAAUACUUAAAACUUACCUUCAUGCACUUUAAUGAUAGUAAGUCAACAAUGUACUGUAGUUUGCUCCAGCACCUUCAUUUUGUGAAUAAGAAAAUACAUACGUAAGAGUUUAUGAA